rnacentral:rRNA from 1 species
AUUGAUGCUAAAGAUGGAAAUUUAAAAAAAAACUUUUUUAAAAAUAAAAAUUGAAUUUUUUUUAAUUUGUGCAAAAACAAUUAUAUUUAUUAAAGACAAGAAGACCCUAAGAAUUUAAGAUUUUACAAUUAAAAAGUUUUUUUUUAAAAUCUUGGUUGGGGCCUUCAAAAAAUAUUAAUAACUUUUUAAAAUUUAAAUUGGUCUAUUAUUAAUAAACUAAUGGAUUAAAUACCCUAGGGAUAACAGUGUAAUAAUUUUUGAUAGAUCUUAUUGACCAAAUAGUUUGGCACCCCGAUGUUGGAUUAAGAUUCUUUUUUAAUGAAAAAAUUAAAAAAAAAAGUUUGGUCAACUUUUAAAUUCCUACUUGGUCUGAGUUCCAACCGGG